rnacentral:rRNA from 1 species
GACGAACGCUGGCGGCGUGCUUAACACAUGCAAGUCGAACGGAAAGGCCCUGCUUUUGUGGGGUGCUCGAGUGGCGAACGGGUGAGUAACACGUGAGUAACCUGCCCUUGACUUUGGGAUAACUUCAGGAAACUGGGGCUAAUACCGGAUAGGAGCUCCUGCUGCAUGGUGGGGGUUGGAAAGUUUCGGCGGUUGGGGAUGGACUCGCGGCUUAUCAGCUUGUUGGUGUGGUAGUGGCUUACCAAGGCUUUGACGGGUAGCCGGCCUGAGAGGGUGACCGGCCACAUUGGGACUGGGAUACGGCACAGACUCGUACGGGAGGCAGCGGUGGGGAAUAUUGCACAAUGGGAGGAAGCCUGAUGCAGCAACGCCGCGUGCGGGAUGACGGCCUUCGGGUUGUAAACCGCUUUCGCCUGUGACGAAGCGUGAGUGACGGUAAUGGGUAAAGAAGCACCGGCUAACUACGUG